rnacentral:rRNA from 1 species
GACGGGGGAGCACCACAACAGGUGGAGCCUGCGGUUUAAUCGGACUCAACGCCGGGAAACUCACCAGAUAAGACAGCUGAAUGAUAGUCGGGCUGAAGACUCUACUUGACUAGCUGAGAGGAGGUGCAUGGCCGUCGUCAGUUCGUACUGUGAAGCAUCCUGUUAAGUCAGGCAACGAGCGAGACCCACGCCAACAGUUGCCAGCUCGUCCUCCGGGAUGGUGGGGACACUGUUGGGACCGCCUCUGCUAAAGAGGAGGAAGGAAUGGGCAACGGUAGGUCAGCAUGCCCCGAAUUAUCUGGGCUACACGCGGGCUACAAUGGGUGGGACAAUGGGUAUCGACACCGAAAGGUGAAGGCAAUCUCCUAAACCCAUCCGUAGUUCGGAUUGUGGGCUGCAACUCGCCCACAUGAAGCUGGAAUCUGUAGUAAUCGCGUUUCAACAGAACGCGGUGAAUACGUCCCUGCUCCUU